rnacentral:rRNA from 1 species
AACGUAGGUGGCGAGCGUUAUCCGGAAUUACUGGGCGUAAAGCGUGUGCAGGCGGGCGGGUAAGUGGUGUAUGAAAUAUCCCGGCUCAACCGGGAAGGGUUAUGCCAGACUGUCCGUCUUGAGUGCGAGAGAGGAGCGUGGAAUUCCGGGUGUAGUGGUGAAAUGCGUAGAGAUCCGGAGGAACCCCAGAGGCGAAGGCGGCGCUCUGGCUCGCAUCUGACGCUCAGACACGACAGCAUGGGGAGCGAACGGG